GUAGGUGGCAAGCGUUGUCCGGAAUUAUUGGGCGUAAAGCGCGCGCAGGCGGGUCCUUUAAGUCUGAUGUGAAAGCCCACGGGCUCAACCGUGGAGGGUCAUUGGAAACUGGGGGACUUGAGUACAGGAGAGGAAAGCGGAAUUCCAAGUGUAGCGGUGAAAUGCGUAGAGAUUUGGAGGAACACCAGUGGCGAAGGCGGCUUUCUGGUCUGUAACUGACGCUGAGGCGCGAAAGCGUGGGGAGCAAACAGGAUUAGAUACCCUGGUAGUCCACGCCGUAAACGAUGAGUGCUAAGUGUUAGGGGGUUUCCGCCCCUUAGUGCUGCAGCUAACGCAUUAAGCACUCCGCCUGGGGAGUACGGCCGCAAAGGCUG
rnacentral:rRNA from 1 species